GGUUUGGGAUGUGUUCUGAUGCAGUGCGGGAACGUGAUUGCCUACACAUUCCGCCAGUUGAAAAGCUAUGAAAAGAAUUAUCCCAUUCACGACCUGGAGUUGGCGCCGGUGGUCUUCGCACUUAAGUUGUGGAGACAUUAUCUUUAUGGAGCGCGUUGCGAGCUAUACACAGACCACAAGAGCUUGAAAUAUCUGUUCACUCAGAAAGAAUUGAACAUGUGACAGCGCAGGUGGUUGGAACUAUUAAAGAAUUAUAAUGUUACAAUCCUUUACCAUCUGGGAAAAGCUAAUGUAGUAGCGGAUGCACUUAGCAGAAAAUCAGUGGAGAACCUUGUGAUGAUAAUCACGCAUCAGGAGUCGCUUUGGAAAGAAAUGCGGCGACUGGAUCUUGAGGUUGUGGCUCCAGAGAUACCGGCUAUACUUUCGGCUCUCGUUUUCCAACCGAUCUUGUUGGAGCGGAUUAAGGACUUACAAUCCACGGAUACAAGUCCCCAAAAGGUACGACGUGACGUCGAGAGUGGGCACAUUGGUGAUUUUAGCAUUGGCACCGAUGGCGCGCUUCGGUAUCGGGACCGUUAGUGUGUGCCGGAAAAUGAAGAAAUCCGAAGUUGAUCUUACAAGAGGCGCACCAAUCUCCCUAUAGUGUCUAUCCGGGCGGCACCAAAAUGUACAAGGAUUUGAAAAUGCACUAUUGGUGGUCGGGGAUGAAGAGAGAUAGUGGAUACUAUGUGGCGCAAUGCUUUGUUUGUCAACAAGUAAAGGUGGAGCAUCGAUUUCCGGCGGGAAAGCUCCAAAGUUUACCGAUUCCCGUUUGGAAAUGGGAGGAUAUAGUGAUGGACUUCGUGGUCGACUUGCCCCAUUCAUCGGGUGGCCACGAUGCUAUUUGGGUAGUGGUGGAUCGCUUGACCAAGUCGGCGCACUUUUUACCGAUCCACACUACUUGGUCUGGAGACAGGUUGGCGCAAGUUUACCUCGACGAGGUAGUGAGGCUGCACGGGGUUCCAAAGUCAAUUGUGUCGGAUCGUGACCCCCAGUUCACGUCUCACUUUUGGAAAAGCUUGCAAGAAGCGCUUGGCACACGGCUCGAUUUUAGCACCGCAUUUCAUCCUCAAAGUGAUGGGCAAUCGAAAAGAACAAUCCAAGUCUUGGAGGAUAUGUUGUGAGUGUGUGUCAUUGAUUAUCGGGGCGGGUGGCAUGAACACUUAACAAUGGCCGAGUUCGCCUACAACAAUAGUUAUCAAGCUAGUAUAGAGAUGGCACCGUUUGAAGCUCUCUAUAGGAGGAAGUGCCGGUCUCCUAUACAUUGGAGUGGAGGUGGGCGAAUGGGUGAUUAUGGGCCCCGAUGUAUUACGAGAGGCGGAGGAGAAAGUUUGCCUUGCUUGCCAAAGGCUAUUGAUGGCACAAACCAGGCAAAAGAGUUAUGCGAAUAAGUGCCGUCGAGAUCUUGAGUUCGCGGUUGUAGACCGCGUCUUUUUGAAGGUUUCACCCAUGAGGGGUGUAAAGCGAUUUGGAGUUCGGGGAAAGCUAAGUCCCUGAUACAUCGGACCGUAUGAGAUUUUGGAACGGAUUGGUGCGGUAGCUUACUGGUUACCAUUGCCGCCCAAGUUUGCGGGAGUUCAUAACGUUUUUCAUGUUUUCAAUCUCCGCAAGUAUUUUCACGACCCCGAGCAUAUUCUCAUGUUUGAACCAUCCGAGCUACAAGAAGAUAUGACUUAUGAAGAGUUCUCGGUGUCCAUCCUUGCUCAAGAAGUGAGAAAACUACGGAAUCGUGAAAUUUCGUAUGUUAAGUCCAAUGGAGCAACCAUGAUGAUCGGGAAGCUACUUGGGAGCUUGAGGAGGCGAUGAGAAAGUAUCAUCCACAUCUUUUUGAAGAUUUGGAUUGAGAUAUGCAUUUUAGUUUAAAGUGCAUUGUGUUUCGUGGACGAAACUCCAUUUAAGGAGGGGGGGAUGUAAGAUAUUGGAUCCUCGUCGUAUUAGUCCACUUUUGGUCAAAUGGACCAAAGCGCGGUGGGAGAAAUAGUUGGACAAAGUUCAUUUAACAUUCCAACAAUGUUGGAAGGGUUAAAGUUGAAUUCCAAAAUGGUUAGAAAGGUUUUAGCAUUGCUCGGUGCGAAGAGGAGUCGAAAUGAUGCAAAAUUGAAGUCUGGGCAUUUUGUCACCGGUAAUGCAUUGAAGUUGUACCGGUACCAGAUAGCAGACCGAGAACAGUAGCUCUCGGGUUUGAGAAAUUCUGGCUGUUAAAUCGGUGACAAAAUGGCUUGUACCGGUACCAAGUCUGUUACAGGAGAUGGUAGCUCUUGGGUUUGGCUGUUGUGUAAUUGUGUAACCGGUGACAAAACAAGCAGUACCGGUAGUGCACUUCGCAGCAGACUUUGGUCUGUUGCAAAUAUGAAGUUGGGGAGGGCCUAACUGCUAUUGUAGCAGCUUAUAAAAGACCCCACACCCCUCCCUUCUCUCUUUUACAGCUGAGAACACUUCUCCUCUCUCUUUUCUCCCUCUCUCUCUCUAGAAACUCUCUCCCAAAGCUAAAGGAGGAGAUUAAGAGGUGGACUUUGGAGGAGAUUUGGAGUUUUUGAAGAGUUAGGGCUCUCCUAUAAGGUGGACCUUGGUGAGCUAGUGGGCUAAGGUAAGGUUUUAUGGAAGAUAGAUGCUGGGGCUUGGUUUUAUGCCCCAAAAUUUUUGGUUUUGAUAUUCUUGCAAGGCUAGAAACCUAGUAGAGGCCAUAAAAUUCAUGAAAACCCAUGGUUUCUCAUGUGCUUUCAUGGUGGAUUUCUAGGGUUUGCUUUAGAUGUCCUAGGAAUUGUUUGAAUGACCUAGAAAUGGUUUAUGUUGAACCUCUAGAUGAUUCUAAGCUUGUUUUUGCUUAGCAUAGAGAUCAAUAUAGUGUAUGGUGGAAUAUGACAUUGUUAGAGCACCAAAAUUAGAGCUUUUGCCCUAGGUUGGUUUAAAGGCAAAUUGACCUUAUAGAAACCAAAUUAAGAGUAUUUCUAACUCGUUUAUGAACUUGGUUCGGAGAUGCGACGAGUCUACGCGAAGUUAAGGGGGAAAAAGGCUAAUUUGGCUUCAUUUUGUCGCAGGCAAGAGAAUAGACACUCAAAAAUCACCAAACUUGAACCGCGACACUUUUGCUACCAUACGAGGUAGGGGGUGCUAUCCGGAACAUCCGGAUUUCCUUUUAUGUCUAAGUUACUUCAUUGGCCAUGCAUAUGUUCAUGUUAGCAUCCAUGCAUCGUAGAGUAGAUUGUUGUUUAUUCAUUUCCUUGCUUGUUCUCGUGAGAUUUGCAUGUAUAUAUAUCUAUAAGAUGGAACCUAGUGCUAUGUGGAUAUAGGAUUGGAUGUGAACAAGGGACUCCUUAAUGGCAUGAUAAACCUAGCUUGGAACAUUGUGGCACCGAAAGUGACAUCGACAUGAAAGUGAAAACAAGUGAAAAUAUGACAUUGUGGCAUUAGUUAGAGACAACUAAAACAAUGUGACAUUAACUAGAGACAAAUAUGGCAUUGUGGCAUUAGCUAGAGACAUUAUGGUCUAAUGACAUUUGGCUAGAGACAAUGUAGUUACUCAAGUAUGAGUAUUGGGGUUGGUGUUCCCGGAUUUGAUUACCACUAGUUGGUAGAGUAUCCUUGCAUUGGAGGAUUGGAUCAUACUUACAUUUGUCUAUUUUGCUUGGUAGUGGUCGCUCCACCUAAGCAUGGUCUUCGAAGUACUUCACGGUAGGGACAGACGUAGUUGUCCCGCAGACGGUCCCGGGUGAGCGUGGCGGUUGCUCCUCACGAUUUGUAGGGAUUGGUUGUGAGUCGGGCUUAACCUUCAGUAAGCCGGAUUGAUUGGGUUAUGGAACAAAGGUAAAUGGCAUGUAUCAUGAGCAUAGUAGUUGCUAGAAUUUAUUUACCUUACUUGCUUAUUGUUCAUAUUGCAAAGGCAUAGUAGCAUGAUAGAAAUGUUAAUAUUUGGCUAACCCUUUACUACUUUUGCCUACUUAGACCUAGUGGGAAAAUCGGCGGCGUCGGUAGUCGAACCCACUGAGAACUAUUUAUUAGUUCUCAUCCCACUUUGUUGCAGAACCGAGUAUAGGCGGAGAAGUCGAGGACCGCGGUAAGGGCAUAGAGCCCUAGUUAGCUAGCUACCUCCUAUUGCAUUAGUGUCAGCACCAUUUUGAGAGUUUCAUCUUGAGAGACAUAUAUUUGGUGAGGUUGCUUAUGGACAUAGAUGUAUUAUGAGAUGAAUGAUGUAAAACCUAUGUAUCUUUUUUAUGCAAGUUGUAAAUCAAAGUAUUUGUAUUGGAGGAAACAAGUAAAUGUUAAAUGUUAAUUGCAAUAGUUGGAUUCUCUCUUGCUUGCUUGUAUGUUUACUAGCUUUGUAUCAUGUAUAUCGAUGAUGUUAUUCCUGGGCAACUAGAUGUACAUGAUCGUUGUUGAGCCUUGGGAGGACAGGGGAGACUCUGUCCAUUCGGCGCCUAUUUGGCGUGCCCAAACCGACCAAAUAGGCGGCGUACCCAAACCGACCAAAUAGGCGGGUUUGGGGCAUGACAAAGCUGAUAUUGGAGUUGAGGGUGAAGUUGAGGGUGAAGAUGAUGUUACAAUUGAGAAUGUAGCUGAGGAAGAAGAUGAUGUUAGAAUUGAGAAUGUAGCUGAGGAAGAAGAUGAUGUUAGAAUUGAGAAUGUAGCUGUAGAAGAAGAAAAUGUUGGAGAUGAAGAUGCUGAUUAUGAUGGUGUAGAAGAUGUUGUUGGAGAUGUAGGUGUAGCUGAGGAAGAAUAUGGUGUUGACGAUGAAGGUGGAGCUCAUCUAGAGGCUGAUUAUGAUGCUGUAGAUGAUGGUGGAGCUUAUAUAUGGCCUGAUUUUGUUAGAGAUGAGAGGCAAGAUGAGGGUAAAGCUUACACUAGGGCUAAUAAUGUUAGAAAUGAUGAGGAGAAUGAGGGAGUAGAUGAAUCAGAUAAAUCCUUUACUGAAAAUUUUGAAAGGAAUUUAGGUUUUAGUUCCACUGAAACUGA
rnacentral:lncRNA from 1 species